rnacentral:rRNA from 1 species
GCAAGUCGAGGGGUAACAUAGAAAAGCUGCUUUUCUGAUGACGACCGGCGCACGGGUGCGUAACGCGUAUACAAUCUGCCUUAUACUGGGGUAUAGCCUUUAGAAAUGAAGAUUAAUCCCCCAUAGCCUCUUUUAAUGGCAUCAUUAUAAGAGUAAAGGUUACGGUAUAAGAUGAGUAUGCGUUCUAUUAGUUUGUUGGUGAGGUAACGGCUCACCAAGACUGCGAUAGAUAGGGGCCCUGAGAGGGGGAUCCCCCACACUGGUACUGAGACACGGACCAGACUCCUACGGGAGGCAGCAGUGAGGAAUAUUGGACAAUGGAGGCAACUCUGAUCCAGCCAUGCCGCGUGCAGGAAGACUGCCCUAUGGGUUGUAAACUGCUUCUAUACAGGAAGAAACCUUGGUACGUGUACCAAGCUGACGGUACUGUAAGAAUAAGGAUCGGCUAACUCCGUGCCAGCAGCCGCGGUAAUACGGAGGAUCCAAGCGUUAUCCGGAAUCAUUGGGUUUAAAGGGUCCGUAGGUGGAUAAUUAAGUCAGAGGUGAAAUCUUGCAGCUCAACUGUAAAAUUGCCUUUGAUACUGGUUAUCUUGAGUCAUUAUGAAGUAGUUAGAAUAUGUAGUGUAGCGGUGAAAUGCAUAGAUAUUACAUAGAAUACCAAUUGCGAAGGCAGAUUACUA